rnacentral:rRNA from 1 species
CCUACGGGGGGCAGCAGUGAGGAAUAUUGGUCAAUGGACAAGAGUCUGAACCAGCCAAGUAGCGUGAAGGAUGACUGCCCUAUGGGUUGUAAACUUCUUUUAUAUGGGAAUAAAACGUUCCACGUGUGGGAUUUUGUAUGUACCAUAUGAAUAAGGAUCGGCUAACUCCGUGCCAGCAGCCGCGGUAAUACGGAGGAUCCGAGCGUUAUCCGGAUUUAUUGGGUUUAAAGGGAGCGUAGGUGGAUUGUUAAGUCAGUUGUGAAAGUUUGCGGCUCAACCGUAAAAUUGCAGUUGAAACUGGCAGUCUUGAGUACAGUAGAGGUGGGCGGAAUUCGUGGUGUAGCGGUGAAAUGCUUAGAUAUCACGAAGAACUCCGAUUGCGAAGGCAGUUCACUGGACUGCAACUGACACUGAGGCUCGAAAGUGUGGGUAUCAAACAGGAUUAGAUACCCGUGUAGUC